UGGCUAUGUAGUUCUAGAACUUAGGGAUUGCUUCUAGGGAUCUCAGUCCUAUCUAGCGGGUGAGCUCCCAUCCCUAGGUUUGCUAGGUGCUAAAUCCUACUUCCAAUUGAAAGAUACUGAACUGAUUUCUUAGAUCAUACUAGGCUUGACUGAACUGUUACUGAUCAUACUUGUUUGGCUAAGCUAAACUGGAUUCACUGAGUUCCAUUGACUGACGAAAUAAUACUGAGUUCUGAAUUGAUUACUGAACUGAAGCUGGAAUGCUACUGAUACUGAGAUUACUGAGAUUUCCUAAGUUCUGUAACUAUCUGAGUUCUACUGAGUUUUGUAAUUGACUGAAAGUACUACUAAUAAUGGCAUGACUGAGAUUAUUAUAAAACUGACACUGGCUCUAGACAAGCAACUAAUUUGUUGGGUAUAAAUACCCCCAGGACUCGAUAACAUAAAUAAUACAAGACAGGACAACUCAUACAUAACAUGGCAAUAGGCUAUCAUUCACAACAUAAUCAAUGAGGCAUCUCUUCAAGCACUUGGAAGUCUUAGCAUGUAAAUGUAUAGGGACUGCAUACUAUUAUCUCAUAAUUCAUUCAAUAAGGAAUGCACAUGAGUAGGAAUGCAUGGAACAUAUCAUAAUUCAUUUACUAAGGCCUUUCAACAAGACAUGCUAUAAGGACUCUAUUUCCAUCACAUAAGCAUUUUAUCAAACAUAUGGGGAGCAUACUUUGGUCAUACAACAUUCAACACACUCAAUUAACAUGGUUACAUGUAUCAACAUCCAUCUUGUAGGGUUUAUUAUGAAUAUCAUGAGAUAAACCACAUACUAUAAUCAAUUCUUGAAACUUGUAGUCUAAAUCAUGAAUUAAAACUCAACAACACAUAAUCAUGAACUUCAAUUCACAUAAAUCAUGAAAAUUCAUAAAUACACUAACUUUAUAAUUUUAACAAGGAUUUUUGAACUUCUUGGGUGAAAGGAACCCAAGAAUCAACAUCUAACAUACCUUAGUUCUUGAUUCUACGAAGAUUGACGAUGGAAUAUCUUGAAUUUGGAUCUUCAAUUGUAAACCCUAAGCAUGUUCUUGAGGAAAAUUGAGAGAAAACUAGUAUAUAUGGGUAAACAAUAGCUGAAUCUCGUGAUAUAGGAUUAUAUGAGUGGGAAAAAGACUGAAAUAACCCUGGGGUCGUGGCUGUUUUAAUGACUGAUAACUGGGUACUGACGCGCUGGUCGACGCAGCGCGUCGAUGAUACCCGACGCGUCGCGCCAUGAUCACGUUAAGCCUCAGUACUUUUGAUUGGCAGUCCUGGAAAAAUAUUGGCCAACGCGAUAGGCGACGCAGCGCGCCAAGAUUUCAUUGGUCCACUAUUUUGGGCACUGGAACUUGGUCCAAACGAGGUCCAAAAAAUCCAUAACUCAUCUGGGAACCCCUAUUGACAUUCUUGAGCAUGGAUUAACUUAAAUAUCAAACCUUUAUGGACGUAAAGGUCAUGAAAGAAGAACGCCAAAUUUCAAAGGCUAAAAUAGACUAAGUCUCAACACUUCGCUGAAAUUUUCUAAGUGUUGGAGCUUCUCUUGACAUGCUUUAAAGAGUUUUAAUGACUAGGAAAAUUUGCGGGGUCUUACAAUAUCUCCCCCUUGGGAACAUUCGUCCUCGAAUGGGACUGACUAAGCUGAGAUUUCUGAUAGACUGAACUUACUUAGCGGACGUGAACAUCUGAAACAUGACUAUAUGAUUGAACCACUGAUAUACUGAAAUCUCAUACCAAACAUGCAUAUCUUAUGCAUGGAUAUCUGACUGAGUUGAUUCUCUUGAAAGCAUGACUGAAUAUGUAAUGAUAACUAAUACUAAGUUUGUAAGGGGAAUCUGAGCAUGGAACUGAAUGGAUUUAUGGACAUGAAAGCAUCGGGGAAUUCUAGGGUAUCUCCUCCUUAGGACACUGUGUCCCCUCCUAAGAAUGCUUACUUUAUUGAGAUAGGCGAUGAACAAGGCACCCACGAGUUGGCUCAUAACUAAGUCUGAAAAUAAUGCAUGACUCAUGAACUGAACUGAAAUCGCAACUACUAGGACUUUCUAUCUUGGAAUAGUUACCUUCUUGAGAUUUUUGAUGGCAUGACUAGACGGAAAGAUAGGAAACAAACUAUAAGAAUCUGACUGCCUGACUGCUAAAUUGACUUGCUGGCUUUACUAACUAACUCAUGCUAAAAACUUAAGCUCAAAUGGGAGCAAAGGAUCUAAGAAUGCAUAUCAUGAAAAUAAAGGACUUAUAACGUACCCAAAUCUAUAUUAGGGGAACCUUCUAGAUUAUGAUGAGUCUGGAGUGCAUAAAAUUUGUUCUGACAUUGACCACUAGUGGUACUUGUAGUGACGCCCUGCUGACGCAUAUCUUUACCCCUCUGAGCCAAUUCUCUACACUCCCGCAGCCUCUAGCCUGGCUUACCACAUCUAAAACAUACCUCGCUGUUUGCUCUACACAUACCUAGGUAAUUCUUGCCAUACUAUUCACAAAGCGGAUAGGUACGCUCACUUCUCACAUUACCCUGGGCUUUGGAGCCUGGCGCCUCAUCAUGACUAACAUUCCUAAAUUUUGGUGUGGGUACACUAGCUGAGGAUAGAGCUAGGACUGAAAACUUCCAACUAUGCUGAGAAUAAUCACCACCCUGUGACUCUGGCUCUGGCUGAGAAUAACUAAAACUACCUGUUCUGUCCUUCUUACUCUCUCUCUUUCCUUAGCUUUCUCUGCCUCAAUCUGCUGAGCGUGCAUCAUCAAUCUAGAAAGAUCUAUGUCUCUAUUAAGCAUAGCAGUCUUACACUCCUUAACCACUACCCUAGACACACUAGUCACAAACUUACUCAUGCUUGCUCUAGGGUCAUCCAUCUGAUCAGGGACAUACUUAGCCAAUUGGUUGAACUUGAGACAAUACUCCUUCACUGUCAUGGAGUCUUGCCUCAGGUUCAUGAAUUCUUCUAUCUUAGCUUCUCUCAUCUCUAGUGGGAAAAACUUAUCUAAGAAUGCAUCCUGAAAUAUCUGCCAAGUCAUCGGAGCUGCAUCCUCCCCUCUACUCUUCCUCCACAUCACUACCCAAUCAUCAGUAACAUCCUUCAGCCUAUAGGAUGCCAAUUCUAUAUUUUCCUCUUCAGAAACAUGCAUGACCCUGGGUGAUCUUCUUCACCUUAUCGAGAUAAAGCUGUGGGUCCUUAUCUGCCUUAGACCCAAAGAAUUCUGGCGGGUUCAUUCUUAUAAAGUCUCUGAUUCUGGUUGAGACUAGACCCCCAUCUUGCUCAAGUGGGGCUGCAACUUGACGGUUACCUUGAACAUUAGUUGUCACAGCUUGGGCUAGCAUCUGAAAAGCUGCCCGAAACGCUGUAUGGGACAUUCUCAUUCAAAGGAUUUGCGGGCUGAGGUGGCUGGUUAUCAUUCCUAUGGGCAUUAGCUUUACGAGGAGGCAUACUCUGUAAAUGAAAAAAAGAGGUGGAUUAAGCUAAGAAUUAGCUCGAGCUCAUACUCACUCAGACGACAAGAACAUUGAAAGAAGGGAAACUAUUCCUAAAACAUCUUAUAGCCUCCUGUACAUAAAUGUGGUGCGCAAUACACCCAUGUAUAAGACUCUACUAGAUACGGCUUUCAGACUCCCUAGGACACUAUUGAAGCUUAGGCUCUGGUACCAAGUUUGUAACACCCCGAGUCUAUUACCCGGGAUGCUACACGGUGCUUAUAAUCCCGAAGGACCACAAGCUAACCCUUAAUUGAUACCUGUAAUUGAGCACUGCAUAAUAUACUAAAAAAUAUGGAAAACUAGCGGAAACUUGCCAUAAGGUUCAAUACUAAAAUAAAACUGAAUAAAGUUUAACAAUAUUAAAAACUAAAACAACUGUCUGAACUACUAGUCUGAAAGCCUCUAAACUUUCUGAACUAUGGAGUCGAUGUGACAAUCCCCCAACCAACUCCAUCUACUGAAGAAAUACUGAAUUUAAUACAAUAUAAUGAAAUAAUAGAACCAUCCUCGAACGAUGAGGACUCACUACUAAGUCUACUGCUGCUGACUGAGUCUGAACUGCUAAGGGUGCUCAAGAUCCCGUGCUUCUGAACCUAUGGUAUAAGACACCAUAGCAUAAGAGAAAAGUGUGCAUCAGUACAUGAGAAUGUACUAGUGUGCUAGAUGGGGUAAGGCUAAAUGCAAGGGCUAAUAUGCAUGAACUAUACUAACUAAAUAAUCUGAGUAUGAUGAAUGAGGAUACAUGCAUGAAUGCAUAAACUAUAACUGAGAUCGUAGUGACACUAAAUAUCGAGUCCUGAAUGCUGAUUUACUGACAUCUGAGUUUACUAAUGCUGGUAUACUGAAUAACUGAAUCUACUGAUAUUGAUAUCUGAGGUUAAUAAAACUUAAUAACUAUAUCUGAGAUUAGUCCUAUCUAAUGGGUGAUCUCUGAAUCUAUUGGUACUUAAUACUAAUUGACGGUAUUUGGGAUCAGUCCUAUUUAGUGGGUGAUCUCUGAGUCCACUGAUAAUGCUAAUGAGUGACUGUAUCUAACAGUCCUGAAUCUGAGCUAUUAAGCUGAGUUUUUUUACUGAGACUAAUUCUAAAACUAAGACUAUGGGAGGUAGUCAUCUAACUGACAUGCCCCGAAUUUGAACUAGUGGGGUCCAACCUGUAACCCCAGUUGGAAGUGUGUCAGUACUGUGCCACGGGUAAAGACAACUGCUAUGGGGUCAGUCUUAAUGUAGCGGGUGACCCUUGAGAUCAGUCCUGUGCUAGUGGGUGAUCCCGGAGUAUGUCAGUCCUAUCUAACGGGUGACAUCUCAUGCCUACGCUGGCUACGUAGUUCUGUAACUUAGGGAUUGAUUCUAAGGAUCUCAGUCCUAUCUAGCGGAUGAGCCCCCAUCCCUAGGUUCGUUCGGUGCUGAAUCCUACUCUCAACUGAAAGACACUAAAAUGAUUUCUUAGAUCAUACUAGGCUUGACUAAACUGUUACUGAUCGUACUUGUUUGACUAAGCUAAACUGGAUUUACUGAGUUUCGUUGACUGAAAAAAUAUUACUGAGUUCUGAAUUGAUUACUGAACUGAAGCUGGAAUGCCACUGAUAUUGAGAUUACUGAGAUUUCCUAAGUUCUAUAACUAUCUAAGUUCUACUAAGUUUUGUAACUGACUGAGAGUACUACUAAUCAUGGAAUGACUGAGAUUAUCUUGAAAAUGACACUGGCUCUAGACAAACAACUAAUUUAUCGGGUAUAAAUACCCCUAGGACACGAUAACAUAAAUAAUACAAGACAGGACAACUCAUACAUAACAUGACAAUAGGCUAUCAUUCAUAACACAAUCAAUGAGGCAUCUCUUCAAGCACUUGGAAGUCUUAACAUGUAAAUGUAUAGAGAGUUCAUACUAUUAUCUCAUAAUUCAUUCAAUAAGGAAUGCACAUGAGUAGGAAUGCAUGCAACAUAUUAUAAUUCAUUCACUAAG
rnacentral:lncRNA from 1 species